AAAAGUUAAAUGGCCUAAAAAAUGUAAAUUAGACAUGACAUUAUAACAUUUGUAUUUUUAGUGCAUAAGUCAUGAUAAUUUGUUUGUCUUUUAUAAUAAAAAAUCGGGUGAAAAUAGAUUAACGGGGUAUGUGCCUCUUUCUUUUUCGAGUAUUCAGAUAUAAGUCGUAUGACUCGCCUUUCGAGUACUCGUCAUCAUCUAAAA
rnacentral:lncRNA from 1 species